rnacentral:rRNA from 1 species
CCUACGGGAGGCUGCAGUGGGGAAUAUUGGGCAAUGGAGGCAACUCUGACCCAGCAACGCCGCGUGAAUGAUGAAGGUCUUCGGAUUGUAAAGUUCUGUGAUGGGGGAUGAACACAAUGACGGUACCCCAAUAGCAAGCCACGGCUAACUACGUGCCAGCAGCCGCGGUAAUACGUAGGUGGCAAGCGUUAUCCGGAAGGACUUGGCGGAAAGGGUGCGUAGGGGGUUUAGUAAGUUGGCGGUGUAAUUCCGGGGCUCAACCUCGGCGUUACCGCCAAAACUAUUAGACUAGAGUGCAGGGGGGGUAAGUGGAAUUCCUAGUGUAGCGGUGGAAUGCGUAGAUAUUAGGAGGAACAUCAGGGGCGAAGGCGACUUACUGGACUGUAACUGACACUGAGGCACGAAAGCGUGGGGAGCAAACAGGAUUAGAUACCCCUGUAGUC